UCAUCUUAUCCACACAACGCAGAAUUCUUAUCAACACAAAGCAGAAUUCACUCCAAAAAUGGAAAUUAAUCAGAACAUAAUGUUUAAAGAUACUGACUGAAAUCUUCAAAGAAUCAAAGCCCCAGAGACGUAUAAAUGUGGGAUAAGAGGUUAAAACUUCGGUAGUUUAUCCCUUGUACUGAUGGUAGAGCAAACGGCUCUGCUCAGCCUUGGCCCAUCACUUAUGUCACGCUUGUGGCAGCAAAGCAAUGGAUCUCUCGCACUACCUUGCCAACCCUGUUUAUACAGUGACCCCAUCUGCUUUUAACUGCCAUGAAACAGCCUUUGCUCUUUGGCUCGCAGUUUGGGAUUUGGAUCUAACUUCAUGCAUGUCAUGUGACACACUGCAGCAACACUACAUGCAUCAGUAAAGAUGCUUGAGGGUACUCUAGAAUUUGCUUUGAACAGUUCAAAUUAAGCUUCAGUGAGUGAGACUGUGAGAAACAGAUGUUUUGUUUUGCCAGGAUACAUGUUUUUACUUCUCACGUCUGAUUCCUUCAACAAUGAGUAGGACCACUUCUGCAAGCAUGACAGUAGAGGCUUACUUGGUAAAGUUAA
rnacentral:lncRNA from 1 species